AGAGUUUGAUCCUGGCUCAGGAUGAACGCUAGCGACAGGCUUAACACAUGCAAGUCGAGGGGCAUCAUGAGGUAGCAAUACCUUGAUGGCGACCGGCGCACGGGUGAGUAACGCGUAUGCAACCUGCCCGAUACCGGGGUAUAGCCCAUGGAAACGUGGAUUAACACCCCAUAGUACUUUUAUCCUGCAUGGGAUGUGAGUUAAAUGUUCAAGGUAUCGGAUGGGCAUGCGUCCUAUUAGUUAGUUGGCGGGGUAACAGCCCACCAAGACGAUGAUAGGUAGGGGUUCUGAGAGGAAGGUCCCCCACAUUGGAACUGAGACACGGUCCAAACUCCUACGGGAGGCAGCAGUGAGGAAUAUUGGUCAAUGGACGAGAGUCUGAACCAGCCAAGUAGCGUGAAGGAUGAAGGUCCUACGGAUUGUAAACUUCUUUUAUAAGGGAAUAAACCCUCCCACGUGUGGGAGCUUGUAUGUACCUUAUGAAUAAGCAUCGGCUAACUCCGUGCCAGCAGCCGCGGUAAUACGGAGGAUGCGAGCGUUAUCCGGAUUUAUUGGGUUUAAAGGGUGCGUAGGCGGUUUAUUAAGUUAGUGGUUAAAUAUUUGAGCUAAACUCAAUUGUGCCAUUAAUACUGGUAAACUGGAGUACAGACGAGGUAGGCGGAAUAAGUUAAGUAGCGGUGAAAUGCAUAGAUAUAACUUAGAACUCCGAUAGCGAAGGCAGCUUACCAGACUGUAACUGACGCUGAUGCACGAGAGCGUGGGUAGCGAACAGGAUUAGAUACCCUGGUAGUCCACGCCGUAAACGAUGCUCACUGGUUCUGUGCGAUAUAUUGUACGGGAUUAAGCGAAAGUAUUAAGUGAGCCACCUGGGGAGUACGUCGGCAACGAUGAAACUCAAAGGAAUUGACGGGGGCCCGCACAAGCGGAGGAACAUGUGGUUUAAUUCGAUGAUACGCGAGGAACCU
rnacentral:rRNA from 1 species